AUUAUAUCGCACACUUAAAACAUAAGUGGCACUAUACAAAAAAUUCAUUUUUGAGUUAAGUAUGCAGUCAAAAGGCAUAAAACGAAACGCGCCUAACGCAAAGAUCCCGGUAGCUCUAAUGCGUCAAAUUUUUGCUAGAUGUCGCUAGUGUCACUUAUGAAUUUGUCACAAUUUGUCCGGUCGAUAAUUGAUAAACCGGCACUAUGCCAUUUCGCGUCAAGUCUCCGGUGGAAAUCCUUGUCGAGGCUUUUUGUAUUAUACUAUCAUGGAUCCGAAAAGAAGUAGAUGUAGAAGUAUAAUAGAAUUAUCAACUCAGAACAAUCAAAGAAAAAAAGAAAAUGAUGACGAUGAUGGAUCUCAAAUUACUAAGCCUGCUUCUAAAAGAAAUUCCGAUAUUGUUGAACCGCUUUCAACAAUGAGUGCGUCCGAUUUGAACAUCAUGAGAAGUUCAUCCUUUAAGCUCUUAUCACAACCAAACUAACACUGACGAUGGUAACUUUUUUCUCGCCUCAGACGAUGACAGAACAAACUUUCCAUCAAAGAAAAAAUGCAGGAGAUCAAACUCAAACUCGUCGUCAUCGUCUUCGUCGUCCAGCUCGUCCUCAUCUUCGUCCUCAAGCACAUCAUCCAGUUCAGCUUCAGCUUUGUCUAUACAAAGGCCAUAACCUAACCCAACAAAUUACUCAAAUAAGGUACUAUAGACACACGUAAUAAUUUCGACCCUUCUAAUCCCGAUGACGAAACAGAGAACCCAAAAUGUAAAGUAAAAGGAAUGACCAAAUGCAAAAAUUGAUGACAUUUCCUUCACUCAGAUUGUUGAAGUUUCUAAUAAUCAUCAAAGAAGUGAUCAUCUUCCUGCUGAUUCGAAUCUUAAAAGUGGUCUUGCUCCGAAUGAUGGUUAUCUUGUCGCCUCUUCCAGCCCUGCUGAUAACGUCGAAAUCAUACAUUUUAAUACAAAUGACACAGGAACGAUGAACGAUACUGCAAAAGAAGCUCCAACUCAGCCAGUUGAUGCAAUUACAAGAAAACGAAAAAUAAUAAGAUCGGUACAUACUACAAAUAUUGUGAAGAUACUAAGAAAUACAGGCAAAAAUAUGUUUCAAACUCAAAACAUUUUUCCAGCUAAAAUGAUUAAGAAACCUUGUGGAAGUACAUGUCGUCUGAAAAUCGCAGAUAGAAUUUCUGAAGAGUCACGAAAACUUAUUAUUAACUUAACAGAGAUAACACAGCCCAGAUAUAAAUAUAAAAAGAUUAACUCUAAUAGAAAACCGAAGAAGGUUAACGAAGUUACUGCAAGAUUUUUACUGACCCAUGAUAAUUAGACCAUUGAUACGCUGAUUUUUACGUAACUUUAACAGUUCCUACUUCGAAAGAAUUUGACCUUAGCAGAUUAAUUGAAAUACCUCUAAUAACUGUACUGAUUAGUAAGUAGUAAGAACAAGAUUUUAAUGUUAAUGUUAUUUAUGACAAUACUUUUAUCUAGAUUCAAAAAGACUUGUUAAUUAUGAAUAUGUGUGGCAAUUUUGACCGAAAACUAUGAGCAUGUGCCAAAUAAAUAUAAUUCUUUAUUAUUUUAGUAA